rnacentral:rRNA from 1 species
UUAAAGUAGUAAGGGCGCAGGGUGGAUGCCUUGGCACUAAGAGCCGAUGAAAGACGUGAUAAGCUGCGAUAAGCUUCGGGGAGGAGCAAAUAUCCAUUGAUCCGGAGAUUUCUGAAUGAGGAAACUCACUGGAGUUCAUACUCCAGUAUCAUGCACUGAAUCCAUAGGUGUAUGAGGGGAACCGCCUGAACUGAAACAUCUAAGUAGGGCGAGGAAGAGAAAUCAACCGAGAUUCCGCUAGUAGUGGCGAGCGAACGCGGAAGAGGCCAAACCAAGAGUAGUAAUACUUUUGGGGUUUUGGACAGCGCACGACAUUGGACGAGGUUAGUGGAAUAGAAUGGGAAGUUUAACCAUAGAGCGUGAUAGUCGCGUACACGAAAACUAAGUUCAGUCAGCUGUAUCCAGAGUACCGCCGGACACGUGAAACCCGGUGGGAAGACGGGGGGACCACCCUCCAAGCCUAAAUACUCUCCAAUGACCGAUAGUGAAUAGUACUGUGAAGGAAAGGUGAAAAGAACCCCUGGCGGGGAGUGAAAUAGAACCUGAAACCUUGUGCCUACAAGCACAUAGAGCACGUCAACGUGUGAUAUGGUACCUUUUGUAGAAUGGUCCGGCGAGUGAAUGUCACUAGCAAGGUUAAUGACUUAAGGUCAGGAGCCGAAGUGAAAACGAGUCUUAAUAGGGCGACAAAGUUAGUGGUAUUCGACCCGAAACCGAGUGACCUAGCCAUGAGCAGGCUGAAGUGGAGGUAAAACUCCAUGGAGGGCCGAACCCACUCCCGUUGAAAUGGUAGGGGAUGACUUGUGGCUAGCGGAGAAAUUCCAAUCGAACUCGGAGAUAGCUGGUUCUCUCCGAAAUAGCUUUAGGGCUAGCCUCAAUAUACAUUACCGCAGGUAAAGCACUGAAUGAGCUAGGGGGCGAAAGCUUACUGAACUCUAUCAAACUAAGAAUGGCGGAUAAUGAAAUAUUGGGAGUCACACUACGUGAGAUAAGUUUCGUGGUGGAAAGGGAAACAGCCCAGACCCACAGCUAAGGUCCCAAAGUACGGUUAAGUGGAAAAGGAUGUGGAGUUGCACAGACAACCAGGAUGUUGGCUCAGAAGCAGCCAUUCAUUCAAAGAGUGCGUAAUAGCUCACUGGUCGAGUGAUUCUGCGCCGAAAAUUUAACGGGGCUAAAUCGUACACCGAAGCUUGGGAAUAUACUUUAGGGUAUGUUGGUAGGAGAGCGUCGUAUAAGGGGUGAAGUCGUAGCGGAAGCGGCGGUGGACUUUAUACGAGUGAGAAUGCCGGAAUGAGUAGCGAGAAUUAUGUGAGAAUCAUAAUGGCCGAAAGACUAAGGUUUUAGAAGGAAGGUUCGUCCGCUUCUAGUUAGCCGGGAGCUAAGGCGAGGCCGAGAGGCGUAGUCGAUGCACAUACGGUUGAGAUUCCGUAGCCACCUACGAUUUAAACUAAAGGACACAUCUGAAGGGCAUGACCCGGGCGUUGGUUGACCCGGGCGUAAGGGACCGAAAACAAGUAGGGAAGCAUGUUUGGAAGGUGGCGAGAAAAGUUUAGUGUAUAUAAUGUAGGUGCCCGUACUGCAAACCGACACAGGUAGUCAGGAAGAGAAUUCUAAGGCCAUCGGGAGAAGCGUUGUUAAGGAACUCGGCAAAUUGACCCCGUAACUUCGGAAUAAGGGGUGCUCACGAGAGUGAGCCGCAGUGAAUAGGUCCAGGCAACUGUUUAUCAAAAACACAGCUCUCUGCUAAAUCGUAAGAUGACGUAUAGGGGGUGACACCUGCCCGGUGCUGGAAGGUUAAGAGGAUGGGUGCAAGCUCAGAAUUGAAGCCCCAGUAAACGGCGGCCGUAACUAUAACGGUCCUAAGGUAGCGAAAUUCCUUGUCGGGUAAGUUCCGACCCGCACGAAUGGUGUAAUGAUCUGGACACUGUCUCAACAACGCACCCGGCGAAAUUGUAGUACCGGUGAAGAUGCCGGUUACCCGCGGCAAGACGGAAAGACCCCAUGGAGCUUUACUGUAGCUUAGUAUUGGGUCUCGGUAUUUUAUGUACAGGAUAGGCGGGAGACUAGGAAGCAAGCACGCUAGUGUUUGUGGAGUCAUCCUUGGGAUACCGCUCUUAAAGUAUUGAGAUUCUAACCUGCAGCCUUGAAUCAGGUUGGGGGACAUUGCUAGGUGGGCAGUUUGACUGGGGCGGUCGCCUCCAAAAGAGUAACGGAGGCGUUCAAAGGUUGGCUCAGCACGGACGGAAACCGUGCCUCUGAGUGUAAACGCAUAAGCCAGCCUAACUGCGAGACUGACGGGUCGAGCAGUAACGAAAGUUGGAGUUAGUGAUCCGGCGGUAUGUGAGUGGAAAUGCCGUCGCUCAACGGAUAAAAGCUACCCUGGGGAUAACAGGCUGAUCUCCCCCAAGAGUCCACAUCGACGGGGAGGUUUGGCACCUCGAUGUCGGCUCAUCACAUCCUGGGGCUGUAUUCGGUCCCAAGGGUUCGGCUGUUCGCCGAUUAAAGUGGUACGCGAGCUGGGUUCAGAACGUCGUGAGACAGUUCGGUCCCUAUCUGUCGUGGGCGUAGGAUAUUUGAGGAGCGCUGUUCCUAGUACGAGAGGACCGGAAUGGACGCACCGCUGGUGUAUCGGUUGUCAUGCCAAUGGCACGGCCGAGCAGCUAUGUGCGGAAGAGAUAAACGCUGAAAGCAUCUAAGCGUGAAGCCCCCUCCAAGAUAAGAUAUCCCACUGUUUACAGUUAAGACCCCUUGUAGACUACGAGGUUGAUAGGUUGCAUGUGUAAGUGCAGUGAUGCAUUAAGCUAGGCAAUACUAAUAGGUCGAGGGCUUGACC